GGCGAGAUGGCCGAGUGGUCUAAGGCGCCAGACUAAGGACCAGGAUGCACAGGCAUCCACUCAUAUCUGGUCCUCCGGGGCGUGGGUUCGAAUCCCACUCUCGUCA